UGGGGAAUAUUGCACAAUGGGCGCAAGCCUGAUGCAGCAACGCCGCGUGAGGGAUGACGGCCUUCGGGUUGUAAACCUCUUUUAGUAGGGAAGAAGCGAAAGUGACGGUACCUGCAGAAAAAGCACCGGCUAACUACGUGCCAGCAGCCGCGGUAAUACGUAGGGUGCGAGCGUUGUCCGGAAUUAUUGGGCGUAAAGAGCUCGUAGGCGGUCUGUCGCGUCUGCUGUGAAAACCCGAGGCUCAACCUCGGGCCUGCAGUGGGUACGGGCAGACUAGAGUGCGGUAGGGGAGAAUGGAAUUCCUGGUGUAGCGGUGGAAUGCGCAGAUAUCAGGAGGAACACCGAUGGCGAAGGCAGUUCUCUGGGCCGUAACUGACGCUGAGGAGCGAAAGCGUGGGGAGCGAACAGGAUUAGAUACCCUGGUAGUCCACGCCGUAAACGUUGGGCGCUAGAUGUGGGGCACCAUUCCACGGUUUCCGUGUCGCAGCUAACGCAUUAAGCGCCCCGCCUGGGGAGUACGGCCGCAAGGCU
rnacentral:rRNA from 1 species